UAGCGGCGGACGGGUGAGUAACACGUGGGUAACCUGCCUCAAAGAGGGGGAUAGCCUCCCGAAAGGGAGAUUAAUACCGCAUAGAAGGUAAAAAUCGCAUGAUAAAUACCUUAAAGGAGCAAUCCGCUUUGAGAUGGGCCCGCGUCGCAUUAGCUAGUUGGAGGGAUAAAAGCCCCCCAAGGCGACGAUGCGUAGCCGACCUGAGAGGGUGAACGGCCACAUUGGAACUGAGAUACGGUCCAGACUCCUACGGGAGGCAGCAGUGGGGAAUAUUGCACAAUGGGGGAAACCCUGAUGCAGCAACGCCGCGUGAAGGAAGAAGGUCUUCGGAUUGUAAACUUCUGUCUUUAGUGACGAUAAUGACGGUAGCUAAAGAGGAAGCUCCGGCUAACUACGUGCCAGCAGCCGCGGUAAUAC
rnacentral:rRNA from 1 species